GGCGGGGUGCUAGAGCGGUUGAAUAGGACAGUCUUGAAAACUGUUAGAGGUGAAAGCCUCUCGUGAGUUCGAAUCUCACCCCCGCCGCCA
rnacentral:tRNA from 1 species